rnacentral:rRNA from 1 species
UACGUAGGGGCCAAGCGUUGUCCGGAAUCAUUGGGCGUAAAGGGCGUGUAGGCGGUCUGAUAAGUCAGAUGUUAAAUCUACGAGCUCAACUCGUAGCCGCAUCUGAUACUGUCAGGCUAGAGAAUGGUAGAGGAAAGCGGAACUUCCGGUGUAGCGGUGAAAUGCGUAGAUAUCGGAAGGAACACCAGUGGCGAAGGCGGCUUUCUGGGCCAUUUCUGACGCUGAGACGCGAAAGCUAGGGGAGCGAACGGG